UACGUAGGGGGGCAAGCGUUGUCCGGAAUCAUUGGGCGUAAAGCGCGUGUAGGCGGCUCGGUAAGUCCGCUCUGAAAGUCCAGGGCUCAACCCUGGGAUGCGGGUGGAUACUGCCGGGCUCGAGUCCGGAAGAGGCGAGUGGAAUUCCCGGUGUAGCGGUGAAAUGCGCAGAUAUCGGGAGGAACACCAAUGGCGAAGGCAGCUCGCUGGGACGUGACUGACGCUGAGACGCGAAAGCGUGGGGAGCGAACAGG
rnacentral:rRNA from 1 species